rnacentral:sRNA from 1 species
AUAUCUCUCUGUACGGGAAGGAUGAGAAGCUUCGACUAAGGUUCGAUUCGAGCGAAAGCGAGAAAGCGUUGCCGCAGGCAACGACCCGAAGGGCGAAACGCGCAGCGCUGAGUCAUCCUUCCCCACCACCA